UCCGCGCUGAACUGCUGAGGUGGAUUUACCUCAGCUCCAGCAGUUGCCACUCUUGGAGAACACCAAGGCUCACCUGCGAGCUCCAGCCAGUUCAUAGCCACAACUAGGCCCCAUUCCGGAGAAUAGAGAUGUCAGCGCUUCUGCAAUGCCGGUUUCAGAGCUUCCUGGAAUGUGCGUUGGAAGAUUGCUCCUGGUUCCAUCCUAUUGACAACACUUACGAGGCAUUUUGGGAGUGGAUACAAGACCUAUGGCUCCAGGGUGCAUUCAUGACGUUUACUUCUGAGGAAAUAGAAUUUUUUGCAUUCCUGUUACUCUGUUGCCUUGCCGUACCGCCUAUGACAUCAGAAAUCCCAUUGUGUUAGCCAAUCCAAUGAGUUUCUCUUCUGAUGUAAUCUUUGGAGACCCGUUUACUCCAUGAUAUGUUUCAUGUGUGGGUCCUGCCACUCCUAGAACCUUUCAGUUAAAUAUAUAUAUUUCUAUAUUUCA